CCUUUCCGCUUACCCCGCCCUUUCGAUUUUUGCUUCCGGGACCAGUCGCCAAUGUUGCGUGACCCACGUCUUACGUCACGAUGCACCGGAAAACAGAAUAGGGGAGAAAACGCUGAGGGGCGGGGCUUCGGCGGCAGUGGGUGUGGUCAGGGACGCACCGCCCGCGUCCCUGGACGCAUUGGAUCGUCAUCCGAUACUUGCUGGUACCUCCGGGAGUACUUAAGGGAAUGCCGGAGGUGGAGAAAGCGAGUUCUACAAGGCCUUUCCGGACCUCGCAAAGCAGUGUGAUUACCUUGCAUUUUCGCGAAUCGUUGUGCAAAGGAGAGGCCCCUAUAUUCUUCUGUUGAGGCCACAAAGCAGAAAUCCUUGUAAUUCAGGAGGUCCUGCACCAAGCGUUACAUGAUUUAGAAGUGGACACGUAACUACUGUUAACUAAGACAGACUCCUGUCAAAAAUUUCAUCCUUCGGACAGGUCAAGGCUUUCCUGGUCCAGGCCCCUGAUAUGGUGGAAGUAAUACCGGAGAGACCGGUGCUAAAUCCACUUCUGCAGUGCUGUUUUGUGCAUCCUUGGGCAAAUCACUUAACUAAUGAUUUGGGGUUCAGUUGCCACAAACCGGCAUGGCUUGGUGUUAGGACAUUUCCCAAAUCUGUCUUUCUGGUCUCAUUUCCAGAAACUCCCUCUUAGCCCUACCCAUCUGCACUCAGCCUUACUUCUAAGCCCUUAUUCUUGCUGUUCUCUUAAACCUAUUAAGCGUAUUCAGACCUAUCCCGUUUCGGACUCAACCUGGCACCUUUUAAAAAUAUAGAUUCUCCAGCCCCUGGGCCUCACCCUAGCCAAGGAAUGAUUUGCCUUGAUCAGAUACGUCUUCAAAAGGCUUUUCCUAAACCUUGAAGCUGGAUUUACUUACUUCUUUCUCUGGGCCAACAUGUUUAUUUAAAGCAACUUCAGUGUCCACUCAUCCAAAUGAUUGUCAAAAUGUAAGCACCUGCUAUUUGCCAACUAUUCGUUUUAUUACAAAAAUAGCACUCUCACCCUGUCUUACAACAGAGCUUGACAAUGGAAUUCCUAGACAUGAUUUCAGGGAUACAAGGCAGGACUGCCUUCCCCUUGAAAUGUAUGUUAUCUAUCUAUCUAUCUAUCUAUCUAUCUAUCCAAUUUCAUCUAAAAUUUCAAAUACUCCUAGAUAGGGCAAUGGGCCACUGAUUUGCUUAAUCAGUCAUUAACAUCUUAGUCUAAAUGAUUUUAUCAUAGCAUUUUCUGUGAGCUGGCCUUGACAGAGAAGUACCAGGCCACACUAUCCAGACCUGAGUCAGUGCUUUCCCACCUACCCUUCCAAAACAUUUGUCCUCCUCCCAGAUUUUCCUAGGCAAGAUAUGAUGAAGACUGCACAUUAGAAGGAGUUUUUAACUUAAAUUUCAAAUCUAACAUUUCAGCCCGUUGUCUCUAUGGCCUCCAAUUCAGCAACUUAUUAGAGUUUUUAAGACUAAAAUUCUUGAGAGUACAAAGAAACAAAUCUUUAAAGGUACAAUUUAAAGCACUCACACAUUAGAGGAGUGCCUAGAUUGCUUAACUGGUUAAGCAUUAGACUCUCGGUUUCAGCUCAGGUCAUAAUCUCACGGUUCAUGAGUUCAAGCCCCCGGUUGGGCUCUGUGCUGACAGCGCGGAGCCUGCUUGGGAUUCUCUCUCUCUUGCUCUCUCUGCCCCUGUCCUACUCAUGCUUUCUCUCUCUCUUUCUCAAAAUAAAUAAAUAAACUUAAAGAAAGAUAAAGCACUCACACAUUAGAAAGAGAGAUAUUUAGGCAUCAACUGGGUACUGUCCGUCCCCAUUCAAGUAUUAUCAUGCAAAAACUAUCUGCUUUAUAAAGCUGGUUCUAGGGAAGGCAUAAUACCUGGGACUUGAUUCUUCAGCUAGUUUGGACAAAGGAUGUUUGGACCGCAAAAUCAAGCCAUCUACCACACAAGUUUGUCAAGAUUCAAUUCUGAGAACAACCAAGGGUUAUUAUAGAAAUUUGCUCAUUACACAGGCUUUUUGGGGCACUGAACUGUGGUGACAGAAUCUGUUUUAGGCCUAAGGACACAGCAGGAAAUAAGACAGGCAAGAUCCCUUUCGUCUUAGAGCUUUCAUGAUAAUGGAGAAGACAGAGUGAUUCCCUUCUGCUCUGCAAGAGAGCAUGCAGAAAGAUGAACCUUCAAACUGCAAACAGUUUGGCCACGUUGCCCAUCUACAAGGCUGCCCAGCUUCUCCUUCGUUCUAGGGGUUCAGGGUCUGUGAACUGACUCCGAUCUGGGAAUUAGGGAGCAGCUGUGGCUUCCAUGGCGAUCCCAGUUUGUAUGUUUUACUAUACUCGGGGUUGUGUUGGUAGUACACGUCAAGGGGAACCUUAAGGUAUCGCUCAUCUAUUUCUGGCCUCGGGACCCACUGUCAGUUACCCCUGCAUUCCCAAGAUCUCUGUGGGUCAACCCGUUCUGAUGAUCACUCUGUCUUUGCUGCCUAUUAUAGUCACCGUACUCACCUUGCCUCUGGCCGGUUAAGUACCGCUGUUUGGUUUUUGCCAUCUUGGACAUCGCUACAUCCUCACGGAAAUCAUGGAGUCCACUCUUAAUGGCACAUCUCCUAUCUCCAUCCCUGCCUUGCAGAAGUCAGCCAACGAAACACCUCUCAAGGAUGGCGGUGCCCCUUUCGUCAGUGUAUUUCUGGGUAAAGGGCAUGGACUCUAGUCCUCUCGGGCCAUAAUUAGGAGGCGGAUGAGCAGGUGACGUGAGCGAAAUCCAUGCCAACGUGCUUGUCCCCUACGUCUUUGCGUUACUUCUACGUUAAACGAAAGAAACUCGGGAUCUCUAGUUCUGGCAUCACGGGUCAUGGUUGCGAUCAAGUUGCAGUGAGCCUACUGAACGAACGAGUCCCAGCUGCUCACACUAGCACAUCGAAUCCACAGAGCAACGCAUUCGGCUCUCUGUAAAAUGACAUUCCUCCUUCGCUGGACCAGCAUCCUCAGCAUGGAAAUACAGAUUUCCUGGAAUCUUGCUACUGGUUUCCUGGAAUCUUGCCAACGAAUUGUACUUGUAUCAAAAGCAAACAGAGGAGGUGGCGGUCGGGACCCUUUGGUCCCUUCCGACGUGGGCAAGGAAAAGAAAAGUUCUUAUAAAAGGUGGAGAUGGGGCGCCUGGGUGGCUCGGUCAGUUGGGCGUCCGACUCCGGCUCAGGUCACGAUCUCGCGGUCUGUGAGUUCGAGCCCCACGUCAGGCUCUGUGCUGACGGCUCAGAGCCUGGAGCCUGCUUCGGAUUCUGUGUCUCCCUCUCUC